GACGAACGCUGGCGGCGUGCUUAACACAUGCAAGUCGAACGGAAAGGCCCUGCUUUUGUGGGGUGCUCGAGUGGCGAACGGGUGAGUAACACGUGAGUAACCUGCCCUUGACUUUGGGAUAACUUCAGGAAACUGGGGCUAAUACCGGAUAGGAGCUCCUGCUGCAUGGUGGGGGUUGGAAAGUUUCGGCGGUUGGGGAUGGACUCGCGGCUUAUCAGCUUGUUGGUGGGGUAGUGGCUUACCAAGGCUUUGACGGGUAGCCGGCCUGAGAGGGUGACCGGCCACAUUGGGACUGGGAUACGGCCCAAACUCCUACGGGAGGCAGCAGUGGGGAAUAUUGCACAAUGGGCGGAAGCCUGAUGCAGCAACGCCGCGUGCGGGAUGACGGCCUUCGGGUUGUAAACCGCUUUCGCCUGUGACGAAGCGUGAGUGACGGUAAUGGGUAAAGAAGCACCGGCUAACUACGUG
rnacentral:rRNA from 1 species